UACGUAGGGGGCGAGCGUUGUCCGGAUUCAUUGGGCGUAAAGAGCUCGUAGGCGGUCUGUCGCGUCGAAUGUGAAAACCCGGGGCUCAACCCCGGGCCUGCAUUCGAUACGGGCAGACUAGAGUUCGGUAGGGAAGUCUGGAAUUCCUGGUGCAGCGGUGAAAUGCGCAGAUAUCAGGAGGAACACCGGUGGCGAAGGCGGGACUCUGGGCCGAUACUGACGCUGAGGAGCGAAAGCGUGGGGAGCGAACAGG
rnacentral:rRNA from 1 species